GCGGGGAUGCCAGAGUGGUCUAAUGGGACGGAUUUAGGCUCCGUUGGCUCAGUGCCUUCCUAGGUUCGAAUCCUAGUCCCCGCA
rnacentral:tRNA from 1 species